GUGUGUGGGACCAUACUUCAGAGAGUCUCAGUCAUUUCUAACUAAGUAUGAUAGAAACCUCUGAGGUUAGAGUAGCACAUGA
rnacentral:pre_miRNA from 1 species